rnacentral:rRNA from 1 species
UUUUGUAAUUGGAAUGAUGGGAAUUUAAACCUCUUCCAGAGUAUCAAUUGGAGGGCAAGUCUGGUGCCAGCAGCCGCGGUAAUUCCAGCUCCAAUAGCGUAUAUUAAAAUUGUUGCAGUUAAAAAGCUCGUAGUUGAAUUUCUGCUGCAUUGCUUGUGUCCCUCUGGGGUCUGAACAUGUGGCUUUUUUCGGACGGAGUUUCUUUGUCUGAAUGUUUACUUUGAGAAAAUUAGAGUGCUCAAAGCAGGCUUUCGCCUUGAAUAGUUUAGCAUGGAAUAAUAAAGUAGGACUUUGGUUCUAUUUUGUUGGUUUUAGGUACCAAAGUAAUGGUUAAUAGGAACAGUUGGAAGCAUUCGUAUUUAACUGUCAGAGGUGAAAUUCUUAGAUUUGUUAAAGACGAUCUACUGCGAAAGCAUUUGCCAAGGAGCUGCCCCUAUCAAGAACGAAAGUUAGGGGAUC